rnacentral:rRNA from 1 species
ACUCCUACGGGAGGCAGCAGUAAGGAAUAUUGGACAAUGGGCGCAAGCCUGAUCCAGCCAUCCCGCGUGCAGGAAGACAGCCCUAUGGGUUUUAAACUCUUUAGAAGGGAUAAACGGCCUACAUUUAUGUGGGUUGUACGGUACCUUCAGAAUAAGCACCGGCUAACUCCGUGCCAGCAGCCGCGGUAAUACGGAGGGUGCGAGCGUUAUCCGGAAUUACUGGGUUUAAAGGGUGCGUA